GACAGCAGUCGCCGCGGUAAUACGUAGGUCCCGAGCGUUGUCCGGAUUUAUUGGGCGUAAAGCGAGCGCAGGCGGUUAGAUAAGUCUGAAGUUAAAGGCUGUGGCUUAACCAUAGUACGCUUUGGAAACUGUUUAACUUGAGUGCAAGAGGGGAGAGUGGAAUUCCAUGUGUAGCGGUGAAAUGCGUAGAUAUAUGGAGGAACACCGGUGGCGAAAGCGGCUCUCUGGCUUGUAACUGACGCUGAGGCUCGAAAGCGUGGGGCGCAAACAGGAUUAGAUACCCCCGUAGUCCCUGUCUCUUAUACA
rnacentral:rRNA from 1 species